GCUCGCCCGCUCGCACGCCCCCCCGCGCCCCCCGCCUGCUGCCCUCUCGCUACCAGCUGGUCGGCCUGCGUCCCCGCGCUCCGGACUAUCGGAUGCUCGCCGGAGCCCAGUCGGCAGGGGGCGCCACGCCCGAGCUCCUGCGAGCGUCCCCGGGCCCGCCUCCCUCCGCGACGCCCCCGCCGGCCCCGCCAGCACCGGCGGCGUCGACACCCGAAAAAAUGCUGUGCGGCCCUGGUCAAUGACAAGUCUCUCCUUGCUCCUGUGCACACUCGGUCAUCCGGCAACCGCAGCUGAAGUUGCUGGCCGAACGACUUGAUCUUUGGUCAACCUGUAGUCGUUAGCGCAGCGAAUGGCAUCCAGUGUUAACCACAGGGCCCUGAUCUGAGUGGCAGAGACACUGCUCCCUGACAGCCCUCGGGUUUGAAAGCGUAGAGGUCACCUUACCCUCUCCAAACUCGGUGGGUUGCUCUAUGAAGUUGGCAUGAGCCUCUGAACUGCUUCUGCCACAUGCCUAAGGAUCUACACGGUGGUGAUAUGCUCUCUCAGCAUCCUGCUCUGGCUACCUGCUCCCAUGCCUCCCCCACCACCAUGAGCUUUUCUGGAAUUGGUCUGAAGCUGGGGACCAGAAGGUCAGGGGCAACAGGAGCAAAAAAUCCCCUCUGGGUGAGUGUGGAGUCAAGCCCCAGGUGAGCCAACUUUAGCGCACGCACGGCUGUUGCUCCACCACUGUACCUCUCGAUGUUUGCUCUCCCUGGACUUGUGACCAGCCACCUACCUGCUGUGCACUGUCACAGCUGUAAUGUCAUCUCUCUAAGAGUCUUGUUUGUGCAUCUGUCCUGCCUGAGGGGUAUUAUGAAG
rnacentral:lncRNA from 1 species